CAUGGUCUCUCAAUAUACGAGUAUCUCGCUACUUUAAUUCCUUGGUUCGAUCUGGUUGAGCUCCUUGGACUGGUUUUUUACUGCUCGAGCCGGUUUCGCCAAGUUUGCUGCAUCAAAGUUAAUCAACAUCAGGACUUCUCUUCUGCCACGUAAAUACCCAACUGCAUGUGAUUCCUUUGACUUUGUUUAUUUUGUUUUAUGGAAAAUUGAAAUGCAACAAAUUUACCAGCGUUACUUCU